rnacentral:rRNA from 1 species
UACGUAGGGCGCAAGCGUUGUCCGGAAUUAUUGGGCGUAAAGAGCUCGUAGGCGGUCUGUCGCGUCUGCUGUGAAAACUCAGGGCUUAACCCUGAGCUUGCAGUGGGUACGGGGCAGACUAGAGUGCGGUAGGGGAGACUGGAAUUCCUGGUGUAGCGGUGAAAUGCGCAGAUAUCGGGAGGAACACCAGUGGCGAAGGCGAGUCUCUGGGAUGAUGCUGA